rnacentral:rRNA from 1 species
UACGGAGGGGGCUAGCGUUGUUCGGAAUUACUGGGCGUAAAGGGCGCGUAGGCGGCUUGGCAAGUGGAUGGUGAAAUCCCUCGGCUUAACCGAGGAACUGCCAUCCAGACUGCUUUGCUUGAGGCCGGGAGAGGUGAGUGGAAUUCCCAGUGUAGCGGUGAAAUGCGUAGAUAUUGGGAGGAACACCAGUGGCGAAGGCGGCUCACUGGACCGGUUCUGACGCUGAUGCGCGAAAGCGUGGGGAGCAAACGGG